rnacentral:rRNA from 1 species
GACGAACGCUGGCGGCGUGCCUAACACAUUCAAGUCGAGCGAGGAGAUUCCCUUCGGAGAGCAACCUAGCGGCGGCCGGGUGAGUAACACGUGGCCAACCUGCCUUAUAGAGGGGAAUAGCCUUUCGAAAGGAAGAGUAAUACCGCUUAAGAUUGCAUUUUCCAAUGAAGAAGCAAUUAAAGGAGCAACCCGCUAUAAGAUGGGCCCGCGGCGAAUUAGCUAGUUGGUGAGGUAACGGCUCACCAAGGCGACGAUUCGUAGCCGACCUGGGAGGGUGAUAGGCCACAUUGGGACUGAGACACGGCCCAGACUCCUACAGGAGGCAGCAGUGGGGAAUAUUGCACAAUGGAGGGAACUCUGAUGCAGCAACGCCGCGUGAGUGAUGAAGGUUUUCGGAUCGUAAAGCUCUGUCUUCAGGGACGAUAAUGACGGUACCUGAGGAGGAAGCCACGGCUAACUACGUGCCAGCCGCCGCCGUAACAC